rnacentral:rRNA from 2 species
AGACCCGAAACCCGGUGAUCUAGCCAUGGGCAGGUUGAAGGUUGGGUAACACUAACUGGAGGACCGAACCGACUAAUGUUGAAAAAUUAGCGGAUGACCUGUGGCUGGGGGUGAAAGGCCAAUCAAACCGGGAGAUAGCUGGUUCUCCCCGAAAGCUAUUUAGGUAGCGCCUCGUGAAUUCAUCUCCGGGGGUAGAGCACUGUUUCGGCUAGGGGGCCAUCCCGGCUUACCAACCCGAUGCAAACUGCGAAUACCGGAGAAUGUUAUCACGGGAGACACACGGCGGGUGCUAACGUCCGUCGUGAAGAGGGAAACA